UACAGAGGGUGCGAGCGUUAAUCGGAAUUACUGGGCGUAAAGCGUGCGUAGACGGCUAUCUAAGUCGGGUGUGAAAGCCCCGGGCUCAACCUGGGAAUUGCAUUCGAGACUGAAUAGCUAGGGUGCGGUAGAGGGAAGCGGAAUUUCCGGUGUAGCGGUGAAAUGCGUAGAUAUCGGGAGGAACACCAGUGGCGAAGGCGACUUCCUGGCCUGUUCUUGACGCUGAGGCGCGAAAGCUAGGGGAGCAAACGGG
rnacentral:rRNA from 1 species